rnacentral:rRNA from 3 species
UUACGCUGUUAUCCCUAAGGUAAUUUAGUCUUAUAAUCAACAAAAAUGGAUCAAAUAUAUAUAAAUAAAUAUAAAAAAAUAAAAAGAGUUAAUUAAAUCUUUCCAUCACCCCAACAAAAUAAAUUUUCAAAUUAAAAAAAUAUCAUACAAAAAAAUAAAAAUAUAUGUAAACUCUAUAGGGUCUUCUCGUCCCAAAAAAAUAUUUAGGCAUUUUAACCUAAAAUUUAAAUUCAAUAAAUAAAUUAAAGACAGUUUACACCUCGUCAAACCAUUCAUUCCAGCCUACAAUUAAAAGACUAAUGAUUAUGCUACCUUUGCACGGUCAAAAUACCGCGGCCCUUCAAUACUCAGUGGGCAGGCCAUACAUCAAAAUAUAUUCAAGAAGAGAUGUUUUUGAUAAACAGGCG